GGGAGGCAGCAGUGAGGAAUAUUGGUACAAUGGGCAGCAAGCCUGAACCAGCCAUGCCGCGUGCAGGAUGACGGUCCUAUGGAAUUGUAAACUGCUUUUGUACAGGAAGAAACACUACCCUCGUGAGGGAGCUUGACGGUACUGUAAGAAUAAGGAUCGGCUAACUCCGUGCCAGCAGCCGCGGUAAUA
rnacentral:rRNA from 1 species